AGGUCCCUGGUAGUUUUAGUUCCUCGUUUGUUGCCUCUCUCGGGAGAUCUCCGUCUCCUCUUCUUUCUCCUCUCCAGCGGCGAAUGCUUCUUCCCCAACCCCGCCGGAGCUUCUCCUCCCGUCGUCCUCCGCCUGGGGUUCCAAUCCAUGAUGCCAUCUCUGGCUUCAAUGUUUUGCCAUCUCUGGGAACCGCGAUAGUGUUUUUAGGAAAAGGUGCUGCCUUUAUUGCCAUGCUGUCCUUGUAUGACAGGGAAGAGAGUAGUGGAAGUACGGUAGGAAUCAUCAAGAAUGUCGCUCAUCUGCACCAUGUUCGAAGUUUUUGUGUGCACGCGGCUCAUCUGCGCGAGAAUCCACCUCAGGAACUCAAGAAUGUCGCUCGCUGCCGACAUCGCCAGAUCUGACCUUGCCAUUGUUGGCUCUUUUGCUUGUGCCUUGUAGACUACCAAGAGAAGGAUGUCUUGCGCAUUCUACCUUUCUGUCGGCAUACUUUCCAUGUCGUUUGCGUCGAUAUAUGGCUUAAACAGCAUUCAACUUGCCCUGCCUGUAGAAUUUCCUUGCGAGACUCCCCUGAUAGAAAGCGCUUGAUGGAGCCCUCUACUGCCCAACUGCAAGAUCCUUUUCUCCAUCAGAAACUUUUGUUUCGGAUCCAUGCCAGUCUCAGUUCUCAGACUCCGGUUUUUCUGUUAGUCGAAGAAACCUAGAGAACUCUAUGGUGGGACGUCAAAAAGAGUCGGCCAAAUUCUUUGCUUCUCAAAUAUUAGGAAACCACUAUGCUUGUGAUUGAAUUCCAUGCAUUUAAAUAGCACCGAAAGAUUUUAGAAGCUAA